AUCACAGAAUAUCAUACGCUGUCGACUGAUCUCCGCCUGUUUAUUGGACUGCCUUUGUCUUGUCUUCAAUACUCCUGUUCACCAUUGUUUGACUUCUGUCCAUUUAUGAUCAUUUCUUUUAUUAAAGCUUGCAAGUGGAUCUGCAUGUCUCCCGUCUCUGUCAUCUGGUUCCUCAUUUAUGAGUUUAGACUGUCGUAUUUAUUUUUUAUGUAUGUGUGAACGAUGGUUAUCACAUGACAGCAACAGGAUAUGGGUUUUUCUGCACCUUAGGUACAGUGCUAGCUUUUCUCAGACUUUAUUUCCCAUUUCUUGUCGAGGUGUGAAGCAUUUGUCUAUGUUGAAGAAGUAGAAAAACAGUCAACACAAGACAACUUGAAACAAAGGGGGAUCUGUGCACCAUACAAAGAUCUUGCAGAAUUCGACUACAACAUCAUCAAACUUCCCUCAGAAGAUGGCUAGUCUUUUAAUAAAGGAAUGUCUUGCAUUUCUGAAACGGAGUAAUGUUUUCAUCCAAUUUCCAUUGAGUGCUUUACUAUAUGGAUUAGAGGCAUUGGUUGAAAUCCACUUUUCAUGCCCGUGCAAUGUUAAGAUGAACAAUUGUUUAGCACUGGCAAUGUUCUUGGGACCUUUUUUGUUCAUAUUUGCAAUGAUGUUCAUGUUUUAUCGGCCUUUUAAACAUGGGUAUUGUCAUUGUGCUAAGAAAGCAAAUGGUGAAACCGAAGAUGAAACUCGGCAGAGCUGUCCUAAAUCUUUUGGAUAUUGUCUGAUUGCACCUGUAAUGUGGGUCAUCAUCUUGUUUCUUGAUGGAGAUUAUUAUGCUUGUGGUCGUACAGACUGGAAUGGACAUUAUGUUUUUGAUGAGAAGCUCAACAGGUCUUGGUGUAAACCUACUGAGGAGAUGCGAAAUGAGACAGAGCUACGCAGUUUGACUAGCUAUAAUCUUCAUUAUUCUCGGUAUAUAGGUUACAUCUUGAUGAUUAUCCUUGGUAUUGUGCUGGUAAUCACAGUGGGUGUUAAUGACUGCUGCAUAACUGGAAAAUGUGACUGCUGCCGAAGUUUGAUAUUAAGAAAGUGUGGAGGAUCAGAUCCAGAGCAGGGGAGUCCGAGAAGUACUGAAACAGGGAAUCCAAGCUCUGUGGUUAGACCUACGGAACAGAACGUGAUCCCAAUGGAGGGCUUAAGCUCUGACCAAUCCCACAAGCCCAGAACCUCUAGCGACGUCCCUGAUCCUGAGACAGAGAAUAGACAAGGUGAAGGACCGGCUGAAUCAACAGAGGCUGAGCCUUUUAUCAAAAAAAAUUUUUUCCAUUAAAUUUCUGCCUGUGUCCUUCUAUCUGCGGCACAUAUAUUCUAUUUAGAAAUUUAAGGGACAAAGUCUUAUGGUAAAAACUCGAUAUAAUUGCCUUAAUAACAUAAUGUUACAAUUAUGUGUGUUGGUAAUAUAUAUUUCUCCUAUAUACAUUUUAUGCUAUUUCUGAGUGUCAUAUAUACACGCACACAGACACCCUUCCACAGUCCUUUAAAGAUCCAAAUCCUACACACACUGAUUGCACAUUGUAUUUAAGCACAGGCACACAUUUUUCCAUUCAUUUACAUUGUUUCCACACACAUACACAAUAAUGUUUUGAUUUGUCAUGUUUAUGUUGCUCUGUUUAAUUAUACUGAAUGGCCCUUACGUAAAAGUAGUAUACUUGGUUUAUUUUACUAAGUAUACUUAAGUAAAGUUCAAGUAUAACUUUUAAGUAUACUUUAUGUGGCACGUAUACAAAUAUCAGUGUUCUAGUAGUAUAUUUGUAAGUGUACUGUUUCAAAACUCCUUGGGACUAAAUUGUCCCACUUUCUAAGUAUAUUUUUAAGUAUAAGAGUAGUAAACUUUGAGAACACAACUAGUUUACCUAUGUUUGUAGUUUGUACUGUAGUUAUAUUAAAAGUGAACUUAUAGGUUUAAUGAUAGUUUACUAAUUAAAUACUUUGUACACUUUGAAGUAUAUAUAGUCUCAGUAAACUACAAGUUUAGUAGUUUUUACUGCAAGUGUACUCAUUAGUUUUGUGAAUUUUGAAUUUUACAUCAUACAUCCAAAACAUCCAAAGAACAGGGUAUCUGCUUGUAAACAAAUACAUUUUAUUCUAGCUUCAUGCAUUAUUUUUUUUAAACAGAGAAAUAACAUUUUGAACAAAAAGCUGAAAAAGACUAUGAAUUGGAUUCAGAAUGAUAGUUAAAACGUAGAUGGAGUCGAUCAACACCUCAAAGCUUGACUGUAAUUAUUACCUCUUCAUCGGUCGACAUUUUAUUCCAUAACGUUAUAGUUUGGAUGCUGUUUUAUGUCAUAUGAUCAUGUUAGAUUACAUUUACUAACAUUUGUUAGUAUGUUUUAGUUUAUUCUUCUUUAUUUGUGUUUUUUUGGAAAUUCUGUGCAGAAGAUGUGUACUAGCGCCCUCUAUCAUCCUUAUAUAAGUAGUUUUUUUGUUUUUUUUUUUUGGUGUCCUUUUGGAGUUUCUAAGUGUCCUUUUUUGGAAAGAAAUGAAGUUUACCUUGCAAAAAAGCUUGCAACAUGUUUUACAGCUUUACAGCUUUUUUUAAAUAUCAACUUUCAAUCUUUUGGUUUACUUUGCUGAAUAUAACAAAUGAUGACAAAAUAAACAUUUGAA